GACGAACGCUGGCGGCGUGCUUAACACAUGCAAGUCGAGCGGUAAGGCCCUUUCGGGGGUACACGGGCGGCGAACGGGUGAGUAACACGUGGGUGACCUGCCCUUAGCUCUGGGAUAAGCCUGGGAAACUGGGUCUAAUACCGGAUAUGACUCCAUGACGCAUGUUGUGGGGUGGAAAGCCUUGUGCGGCUAGGGAUGGGCCCGCGGCCUAUCAGCUUGUUGGUGGGGUGAUGGCCUACCAAGGCGACGACGGGUAGCCGGCCUGAGAGGGCGACCGGCCACACUGGGACUGAGACACGGCCCAGACUCUACGGGAGGCAGCAGUGGGGAAUCUUGCGCAAUGGGCGAAAGCCUGACGCAGCGACGCCGCGUGAGGGAUGACGGCCU
rnacentral:rRNA from 1 species